rnacentral:rRNA from 1 species
GACGAACGCUGGCGGCGUGCUUAACACAUGCAAGUCGAGCGGAAAGGCCCUUCGGGGUACUCGAGCGGCGAACGGGUGAGUAACACGUGAGCAACCUGCCCUCAGCUCUGGGAUAGCUCCGGGAAACCGGAAUUAAUACCGGAUAUGACCCCGGCUGACAUCAGCCGGGGUGGAAAGUUUUUCGGCUGAGGAUGGACUCGCGGCCUAUCAGCUAGUUGGUGAGGUAACGGCUCACCAAGGCGACGACGGGUAGCCGGCCUGAGAGGGCGA